UACGUAGGGUGCAAGCGUUAAUCGGAAUUACUGGGCGUAAAGCGUGCGCAGGCGGCUUUGCAAGACAGAUGUGAAAUCCCCGGGCUCAACCUGGGAACUGCAUUUGUGACUGCAAGGCUAGAGUACGGUUGAGGGGGAUGGAAUUCCGUGUGUAGCAGUGAAAUGCGUAGAUAUGCGGAGGAACACCGAUGGCGAAGGCAAUCCCCUGGACCUGUACUGACGCUCAUGCACGAAAGCGUGGGGAGCAAACAGG
rnacentral:rRNA from 1 species